CAAAGUCAACUGUAAAUAGAGGGCUGAUGAUUUGAAAAGCCUUUAAAUAUAACACGGGGUGGUUAGUGCAAAACACACCAGAGACUUGCAGCAAUAACAAGAGGAACCUGCUGCUUCUAUUCUUUCAAAGGAGCUUUCUAAAACCUUCAGCCAGCAUGGUCCUGUACUACAGAGUCUCCUGCCUGCUGGCAUUUCUUCUUCUCUUAACCUUUCCAGUGGUCCAUUCUGCUCCUGUCGAACACCUUUGUGGGGGUGACCUCGUUGAUGCCAUAAAUUUUCUUUGUGGAUUUGAUAUGUAUAAAAUCGAUCCACGAAAGAAUCCCAAUCGUAUACCUUUCAAAAAGCUCAACAUCCACAAUGACUGUUGCAUUAAUUCUUGUUCUCUGACUUAUUUGGAAGAGUACUGCGAAGAAUACAAGUGAUUGUUUGUCAUUUAUGUUAAACUAUAAUGUUAAAACAUAAAUAAUACUAUUCAAAAACACA